CAGCCGCCGCGGGAAUACGGAGGGUGCAAGCGUUAAUCGGAAUUACUGGGCGUAAAGCGUGCGUAGGCGGCUUUUUAAGUCGGAUGUGAAAUCCCUGAGCUUAACUUAGGAAUUGCAUUCGAUACUGGGAAGCUAGAGUAUGGGAGAGGAUGGUAGAAUUCCAGGUGUAGCGGUGAAAUGCGUAGAGAUCUGGAGGAAUACCGAUGGCGAAGGCAGCCAUCUGGCCUAAUACUGACGCUGAGGUACGAAAGCAUGGGGAGCAAACAGGAUUAGAUACCCCGGUAGUCCCUGUCUCUUAUAC
rnacentral:rRNA from 1 species